UCCUUGAUGGACCAGAAGCAACGCAAACGAGACUGGCCCAGCCCCAAAAUGAACAUUGUCAUGAGGGCAUAAUGGAUUCCAUUCAUGAUCAACUAAUUGCCAUCAACCCUUAUGCUGCUGCAUACAAGCACAUGCAUGAGGUUGAGACAGAAGAGAAUAAUAGAGCAAUCACAUCAAAUUGCCAGCCACCCACUGUCACCAUGGUAAUCAAAAAAGGCACAGAUCAAAGGCGAUACAACCUGCCAACCCACGAUGAAGUCGCUGCAGUGUUUGUAGGAACUGAUGGCAUCCCCCCCGAUCGAGACCUCAUUGUCUAUCCCAGAGAUAUGCCUUUACAGAACAUUUCCACCAUAUCCCCCAACGUUGACCCCAUGACUUACCCAAUCCUAUUUCCACAUGGAGAACGUGGAUGGAUUCCUGGCAUACAACAUUCAGCACCACAUGCAACAGCAAAAAGGAAUUCAGUAACUCUUCUCCAGUUUUAUUCAUUUCGUUUGGCCAUAAGACAACAAUUCUCUCCCAUCCACAAAUCCGGCAAGCUCUUCCAACAGUACAUAGUUGACGCCUAUGUCAAAACAGAAUCUGAACGCCUGUCAUAUCUGCGACAUAAUCAAUCUCAAUUGCGAGUUGAACACUACCAAGGUUUAAUGGACCACAUCAAUAAGCAAGCCAUUGAAACAGAACGCACACUCGGUAGAAUUGUGAUAUUGCCUUCAUCCUUUCAAGGUUCCCCACGUGCAAUGAAUCAGAACUAUCAGGAUGCCAUGUCAAUAGUUGCUCACUUUGGAAAGCCAGACCUGUUUCUGACGUUUACGUGCAAUCCUAAAUGGGAAGAAAUCAAGAGCAACCUUCUUCCACACCAACAAAGUUCAGACAGGCCUGAUUUAAUCUCGAGAGUUUUCAAACUGAAGCUUGACCAACUCAUAAAAGACAUAACUAAAAAUCACAUUUUUGGCAAACCUGUAGCAUGGGUUCAUGUCAUCGAAUUCCAAAAGAGAGGUCUACCACAUUGCCACAUGUUGAUUAUUCUGGAACAAGACAGCAAAUUACGUCAGCCUGAAGAUAUUGACAGCCUCAUCAAAGCAACAAUCCCUGACCCAGUAGAAGACCCACAGCUGUUUGAAAUCAUCAAAUCUACUAUGGUGCAUGGGCCAUGUGGGGUACUGAAUCCUAAAUCAGUAUGCAUGAAAGAAGGGGUGUGCAGCAAGGAUUAUCCUAAACAGUUUCAAACAAGAACAGCAGUCUCUACUGAUGGAUAUCCCCAAUAUGCCAGACCAGACAAUAGCAGGACCGUCACCGUCAAACACAAGGAAUUGGAUAACAGAUGGAUUGUUCCUUACAGCCCAUAUCUAUCCAAAAAAUAUCAAGCACACAUAAACUUGGAAGCCUGCAUGUCCAUCAAAAGCGUGAAGUACCUGUACAAAUACAUCUAUAAAGGAUACGACUGUGCAACAUUGCAAACUUCACAAACUACAGUAAAUCACGAUGAGAUCUCCUCUUUCACGGAUGCAAGAUAUGUUAGUGCACCAGAAGGAUUUUGGCGACUGUCAGAGUACUCUAUGCAAGGACGUUCACACACAAUCCAUCGUCUACCAGUUCAUCUUGCCAACAAACAACCAGUCUACUUCACACGAGGACAGGAGGAGGAAGGUCUUGAAAGAGCAAACAAUAAACAAUCCAAAUUAUCUGCUUGGUUCCAACUCAAUGAAGAAGAUGAAGAUGCAAAUCAAUACUUCUACACAGAAAUACCCAACCACUAUGUUUUCAAUAAUAAAACAAGCCGUUGGCAAAAACGGAAAAAAAAUGUCAAAUCUGUGCAAAGAAUGUACAGUGUGAGUCCUAAAGACGAAGAAAGAUUUUUUUCUUCGUCUACUUCUACUGCAUGUUCCUGGGGCCAAGAGCUACAAAGACAUGAAAACCGUCGAUGGAAUUGAAGCCUCUACUUUCAAAGAAGCAUGCCUAAAACUCAACCUUCUUGAAAGUGACAAAGUAUGGGAUGACACAUUGAGAGAAGCAUCAUCAUACAAGAUGCCAAGACAGAUGCGUCUGCUCUUUGCAACAAUAGUGGCACACAAUCAUCCAACAGAUGUCCUCUCAUUAUGGGAAAACCAUAAAAGUGCACUCACAGAGGAUUUCAGAAGAACAUUUCCUCAACCACAAGCAACCCAACAUGCCCUUGCACACAUCAAUGAUAUCCUAAAACAGCAUGGACUUUCAUGUAGAUCCCUUGGAUUACCUUUGGAAACCCUACAAGACGGUCAAAUACAAAAUGAUCUUCUACAUGAGGCAAACCAAUUUGAUAACCCUGAUGUCCAAAUGAAUGAAGAACAGGAACAUGUCAUCAACACAAUCCUCCAAUGUCAACAAACCAUCUCCCAAGGAAUGAAUCCACCGACUACUGCCUUCUUCAUUGAUGGUCCAGGAGGUACAGGAAAAACUACAAUGUAUAACCGACUCAUUGCUACAUUCCACAAGAAAAACCUGAAAGUGUCUGCUACAGCAUAUACUGGCAUUGCUGCAACACUUCUACACAAGGGUCAAACAAUUCACAGCUUUUACAAAUUGCCAGUACCUAUUGAUGAAAGAUCUACAUGCAAUGUUCCACCAGAUACACAACAAGCGCAAAAGGUGCGAGAUACUGAUCUAUUCAUAAUAGAUGAAGCUUCAAUGGUGCCAAAACAUGCACUGGAUGCCAUCAACAUGAUGCUACAAGACGUAAUGGAUAAUGACAAACUCUUUGGAGGAAAGAUUGUUCUGUUAGGUGGAGACUUUCGACAAGUCUUACCAGUAAUUCCAAGAGUUGCUCCGGCAGUACUGAUGGAGAACACAAUUAAGAAAUCAAACACCUUCCAAGAGUUUCACAACUUCAAGCUGACCACAAACAUGAGAGCAGAUGAAAGUGAGAAACAGUUUGCGAAAUGGCUGCUUGAGGUAGGAGAAGGAACGUAUGAUGCUGGAACAGACGCACUUCCAGGUGAUUCCAUUGUACUUCCAUCCUCAGUAAUCACAAAAGACAUUGUGAAGGACAUGUAUGAUGACAAUGACAACAAUAAUGUCGAAAAAGAAGCUAUCCUCACACCAAAGAACGAUGCCACGUUCAUAAUAAAUCAGCAAAUACUUCAAAAACUUCCCGAGAAUACAGCAGUGUACUACAGUACAGAUACAAUCACAACAGAUGACCCUUCAGAUGCUCUGAGCUAUCCAACAGAAUUUGUAAACUCAAUGACACCAUCAGGAUUACCACUCCAUAAACUGCAAUUGAAACAGGGAGCAAUUGUGAUGUUACUUCGUAACCUUGAUAUCAAUGAUGGAUUGUGUAAUGGUACAAGAUUGAGAAUUUGCAAUUUGUACAACAAUGUCAUUGAUGCGCAAGUGUUGAUAACAGGCAAACGUGUAUUUAUCCCACGGAUAAAGUUGACCCCAUCUGACACCACCAUGCCAUUUAACUUACACCGUGUACAAUUUCCAAUACGUUUAGCAUAUUGCAUGACAAUCAAUAAGGCUCAAGGACAAACCUUCUCCAGAGUUGGGAUCUAUCUGCCGUACCCAGUUUUCACACAUGGACAACUAUACGUAGCAUUGUCCAGGGCUAAAUCACUCAACAGCAUACGUGUGAUGAUGGACAACACUUCAGGCCAAGGAAAGAAACACAGUAAAUACUACACAAAGAACAUCGUGUAUCGUGAAGUCCUAGGUUGAAAUUUCUUUUCCUCUAAAGGGCAACAUGGAAAACAUCAAAGCAGCAAGUCUACAAAUCUUAGGUACAAUGACAAGGCUGCAAGUCAAGGCACCGACUCUCACGAAGGACGCAUGGCAGCAAAUAAUAAACCUGACAGAAAAGAUAGAAGAGUCUGCUAUAGAAAUGAAAAAUGAAACAUCAAGUAUGAAAGAAGCCAACAAAAAAUUACUGAUUAAGAAUGCAGCACUUUCCAAAGAGGGAUUCAACUUGCGGCAGCAGCUCAAAGAAAUGAAAUCUGCGUUAAAUGACUCUCAGCUAAAAUGCAGCAAUGCAUUAGAUGAGCUACAUGAAGUGAUGAACAGUACUGAUAAUAUAAUAGCUUCUCAACCUACAGCCCAAUCAACGCCCCAGGAAAACGAACAAGGAACCUCCAACAACGACGACACCUCAUCAUCGCCCAUAAUGUAAGAUCUCAUGUACCGUACACCAAUGUUUUUUAAGAAUAAAGUUACUCUCAACUAUGUUUUUUAAAACUUUCAUUUAACUUAAAUUAAAAGAAAAGUUAUUUAAUAUGAUUACUUAGACCUAUAUCAAUUUCUCUUUCUUUUUUAGAACUAAUUAAAAACUAAAUACAUUUAUAACGCUUGAGAUAAAAACUGAUGUCUAUAAUUUCUUUUAACUCUUGCAGUAUGCAAAACUACUUGACCUGUUGUAAAAAUGCAAAAAUGUUUGAUCUUUUAUUAAGGUAAACAAUUUUAUGCAUUCAUUUUUUUAAAGUAGUAGAAAAAACAUAGCUCUACAAAAUGAUCUGAAAAAAUAUGGUUUUUCAACUUCAUACAUGACGUAUUUUACAUGUAUUUUUAUAAUCAAAGUUCCAUUUAUAUUUUACCUUCAAAUAUUUAAUGGGGAACUGGAUAUCUUGCCUACAUUAUGCAAUAACAUAGACGUAAUCCAUACUUGAAACUCUUAAGUAUGUUGACUAUGUUACAUAACGCUGAAAAUAUAUAUUAAAUUUCUAUGUUCAAAGUAUAUCUUGACUCAUUCAUGCAAUAUCAAAAAGUAUUCCAGUACUUAAUCUUUUUUAAUGAGGGUAUGUCAUAUAUUGCCAAAGCUAUGUAAAUAAGUGUUUUUAUAAAUAUGUGGAUGUAGAUAAGUUAUGUUCUUAUUUAACUAUAUGUAUGAAUCAAUUAUUCGCUGACACCUCUCAUAUUCCAAAUCGUUAUUUCCUUUAAAUAUUUAAAUCUACCUCGCUGACACCUCUCAUACAUGAAUAUCAGAUCGUUAAUUCCUUUAAAAAAUUGAUCUACCUCAAUUUCCUGAAACAAAUUUUUUUGAAAGAAUAAAAUGCUCAAGUAUUUAUCGCUAUUUCUUUAUGGAAAUAAGUGAUAAAAUUCAAGAAUAUGAAAGUUUGAUUAUAAUCUGAUUUUAAAAUUAUAUUUCUCUUCACAACCCCAUUUUCAAUUUUUGUAUACAAAAUAAAUGAAAUAAAAAAUCACAUCUUAACAAUCAUUUAAAAAAUAUUUCAGACUUUAACUCACAAAUGAUCUCAUAUCUCUAAGUAAAAAAACGACACUUGCCGAAGAACAAAUGAAAAAUAUUCUGUACUUACAUGUUAUGUUAUUUAUUACCAAAAAACAGACGAUCUCAUAUCACUAAUUAUGCAGCAACACUUGCCAAAGAAAAAUGUAGAAUUUCUGUACUUACAAUGUUAUGUUAUUGAUUACCAAAACUGUAUUCCAUGAAACUAGAUGUUCUACUGUAAUGUUGUUCGUAAACAUACAUCAAUGUACAUAUGUUGUCAAUAUGUAAAAUGCCUUUUCAUGUUUUGAUUGCAAAUGAUACAAUUUAAAGUGUUCCGCACUACAGCCUUUAACCUUUAAAAUAGAUAUUAAAUUUCUAUGUUCAAAGAUUAUCUUGACUCAUUCAUGCAAUAUCAAAAAGUAUUCCAGUACUUAAUCUUUUUUUAAACGAGGAUACGUCAUAUAUUGCCAAAGCUAUGUAAAUAAGUGUUUUUAUAAAUAUGUGGAUGUAGAUAAGUUAUGUUCUUAUUUAACUAUAUGUAUGAAUCAAUUAUUCGCUGACACCUCUCAUAUUCCAAAUCGUUAUUUCCUUUAAAUAUUUAAAUCUACCUCGCCGACACCUCUCAUAAAUCAGAUCGUUAAUUCCUUUAAGUAAUUGAUCUACCUCAAUUUCCUGAAACAAGUUUUUUUGAAAGAAUAAAAUGCUCAAAUAUUUAUCGCUAUUUCUUUAUGGAAAUAAGUGAUAAAAUUCAAGUAUAUGAAAGUUUGAUUAUAAUCUGAUUUUAAAAUUAGAUACUCUUCACAACCCCAUUUUCAAUUUUUGUAUACAAAAUAAAUGUGAUUUCUUAUUACAAUUAUUUUAAAAAUCAUUAUAAAAUAUUUCUGACUUUAACUCACAGAUGAUCUCAUAUCUCUAAGUAAAAAGACAACACUUGCCAAAGAACAAAUGAAGAAGAUUCUGUACUUACAUGUUAUGUUAUUUAUUACCAAAAAUCAGACGAUCUCAUAUCACUAAUUAUGCAGCAACACUUGCCAAAGAACAUAUGUAGAAGAUUCUGUACUUACAAUGUUAUGUUAUUUAUUACCAAAACUAUAUUCCAUGAAACUACAUGUUCUACUGUAAUGUUGUUCGUAAACAUACAUACAAUAUACAUAUGUUGUCAAUAUGUAAAAUGCCUUUCAUGUUUUGAUUGCAAAUGAUACAAUUUAAAGUGUUCUGCACUACAACCUUUAACCUUUAAUAAUAAUACAUAUGUAAGUGUAAACUUCAUCUUUCAUUAUCUGCCUGACUUCAACUUUCUUACUUCAAAAUUUACUUUUAAAAGCAAACAAUAAAUCUUUUGAGGUAUAUUAGAUUGUAAUUUUUAAAUAUAACAACUAUCAUGUUAUAUGAUAUGUAAGAGUAUGAAAUAAGUAAGUAAUACAAUAAAUGUAAUUCUUUCAAGUUGAUUGUAUCAUACUUACAAAAUAUAUUUUUGAUGAUAAUUUUGUUAUUAAAACAUGUAGUUUUAAUAGAAUAUGUUAAGUCAAAUAUAUCAACUGUUAUUCAUAGUUCGUUUUGGAAAAGUUAUGAAUAAAUAUGAAAUUGUUCAUACAUGUAUUAAAAAUCAAUCUUUGAAAUCAA